rnacentral:rRNA from 1 species
AUUGAACGCUGGCGGCAGGCCUAACACAUGCAAGUCGAGCGGCAGCAGGGUGCUUGCUCCUGGUUUCAGGUGCGGACGGGUGGGUGAUUCCUAGGUAUCUGCCUGGCUGCUUUGGCGUGCGUCCGAACGCAGGCACUCUUACCGCAUUAGUGCAGACGGCGUACGUGUGGAAUCAUCGGAUCUCACGACCUCACGUGAUCCUAGGUGCCUAUGUCGGAUUAGCUAGUUGGCGGGGUAAAGGCCCACCAAGGCGACGAUCCGUAGCUGGUCUGAGAGGAUGAUCAGCCACACUGGAACUGAGACACGGUCCAGACUCCUACGGGAGGCAGCAGUGGGGAAUAUUGGACAAUGGGCGAAAGCCUGAUCCAGCCAUGCCGCGUGGGUGAAGAAGGCCUUCGGGUUGUAAAGCCCUUUUAUUGGGGAAGAAGGGCAGUAGGUUAAUACCCCGCUGUUUUGACGGUACCAACAGAAUAAGCACCGGCUAACUUCGUG